rnacentral:rRNA from 1 species
GGUGUUGGGUUAAGUCCCGCAACGAGCGCAACCCCUGUGGCUAGUUGCCCGCUGAAAGGCGGUACUCUAGCCAGACUGCCUGUGAUAAGCAGGAGGAAGGUGGGGAUGACGUCAAGUCAGUAUGGUCCUUAUGUCCAGGGCUGCACACGUGCUACAAUGAUCGGUACAGAAGGAUGCAAGACCGCGAGGUGGAGCUAAUCCCCAAAACCGAUCCCA